ACUUGGCCGGCUAAGCAAGUACCCAUUCCAUCCUCCUGAAGAAGUCCAUUUGGUAGAAGGCAACCUUCUCCCAGAGGAGGAGCGGCGUUCAACCAAAGAUGCACAAGUCGCUGUGUUCCUCCGCUACGACUUCCGAACAAGAACUGGAGCGAGUCCUCCUCACCUGGCUUCAAGAGAUGAGGACUGAGUCCUCCUGACAUGCCCUUCUCCUAGAGCUAUCUAGAAAGAGUGCCAUGGGCCUGAUCUUGGGAGUCAAUGGAACCUAAUCCUCAAGACCUCCACUGGCUCUGUGGUCAACUUCUCUCAAAGCUCUCCAUGGGUCAGGGAGAGGAAGGAACUGCUCAUGGAGCCUCGCUGCCGGAAGCUCAGGGGGACACUUGAGCUCCCUAGCCCAAGUCCCUGCUUGUAAUACUCUCCCCAGCCUGGCUGGGAGAAGACAGAAGAGCACAGAUGUUAGACAGGCCUGACAUGUUUUUCUAUUUACCUCUGUGUGGAUGUGGGCGUGGGCCUGCGCAUGUUCAUGUGGAGAUGAGGGAGGGACAAAGACUGUGGUGUAAGACUACCCUCUAAUUCCCUUCACCUUAGUCAUUUGAGACGGGGUGUUGGCUGUCUUUAACAUAAGCUUGAGUCGUCUGGAAAAAAGAGGGCACCACUUGAGAAAAUGUUCCCACCAAGUUGCCUAUGGACAAGUCUGAGGUGCACUUUACUGACUAGGGAUUUAUGUGAGAGGCGCUCCCCAGGUGGUCCCAGGGGUGUGUAAUAAAGCAGGCUGAGCAAGCCUUGAAGAGCAAGCAAGAUGGCUUCCACAUCACUUCCUGCUUUCAGGUUUCUGCACUGAGUUCCUGCCCUGACUUCCCUGGAUGUGGACUACAAGGUGUAAGCGAAAAUAAAACCUUUCCCCUCCAAGUUUCGUUUGUUCACAGUGUUUUUUUUUCUUUUAGAUUUAUUUAGUUUACAUAUAUGAGUACUCUGUCUUCAUGC
ensembl:lncRNA